GUUAGCCAAUCUAAAGGUUGCUUAGCUCACUUUGCUAUUUGGCGACAUGGUGUGUACCACACAAAACAUGGAGCAGGGAGACUCUGCAUUGUGAUUUCUUCAUCUCGGCACAACCCUCUUGAACUCGUUUCUUUGCCGCUAAAAUUCGGCUUGGUCUUGGCUCUCGGUGUGAGUGAAAUGUGACUGGUCCGUGCCCCGAGCUUUCCAACCAGCUGCUCACUCCUUCAGUCUUUCGGGUCUCAGCUCGCGUGUUUGCUACAGGAGCAGGAGGUGUCUGUGUGAGUGUUUGUCUGCUUUCAAUGGGCAAGGUCAAUCCAGUUGAAAAGACCUUUGUUAACCCUCUUGCACUAUUUUACAGAUUUAAAUCGCAUAACUUGUAACAACAUACUGGGGAGUUAGAUACUUGUUCCCUAAUAUUUUUGAGAGCUGCGUCCUGUGCAUGUGCGCGCGUGCGCGCCUGUGUGUAAUUGCCAUGACGAGACAAGAUGUUGAGUCGGCGGUGCGUGCCGUCAGAGCGCUUGAACACUUCACAGACUGCCCGCAGAGAACAAGAGAGACAGAAGGCGGCAGAGGGAUAAGAGGAAGAAGACAGAAGCAGAUGAGUGACGAAAUGUUUUUUUUAAAAAGCAACUUAACAUCACAUGGAUAUCAAACCUUGCCGAGGGUUCGCACCAGAGUUUAAUAGGAAAAGGAAGAGAUUUAAUACUCACAUGAGCACGCUAAACCAAUGCAACAACACAGACAUGACAGACCUGCUGUGCUGAGAAACAUUGUUUGGCUGCAGAAGCACAAGAAUGUGAAUUUU